UCACUGCUGAAUUGGGGGAAGGGUG
rnacentral:piRNA from 1 species